rnacentral:rRNA from 1 species
GACGAACGCUGGCGGCAUGCCUAACACAUGCAAGUCGAACGAGACCUUCGGGUCUAGUGGCGCACGGGUGCGUAACGCGUGGGAACCUGCCCUUAGGUUCGGAAUAACUCCCCGAAAGGGGUGCUAAUACCGGAUAAUGUCUUCGGACCAAAGAUUUAUCGCCCUUGGAUGGGCCCGCGUUGGAUUAGCUAGUUGGUAGGGUAAAAGCCUACCAAGGCGACGAUCCAUAGCUGGUCUGAGAGGAUGAUCAGCCACACUGGGACUGAGACACGGCCCAGACUCCUACGGGAGGCAGCAGUGGGGAAUAUUGGACAAUGGGCGAAAGCCUGAUCCAGCAAUGCCGCGUGAGUGAUGAAGGCCUUAGGGUUGUAAAGCUCUUUUACCCGGGAUGAUAAUGACAGUACCGGGAGAAUAAGCUCCGGCUAACUCCGUG